GGAUGAACGCUGGCGGCGUGCCUAAUACAUGCAAGUCGAGCGAACAGAUGAGGAGCUUGCUCCUCUGACGUUAGCGGCGGACGGGUGAGUAACACGUGGAUAACCUACCUAUAAGACUGGGAUAACUUCGGGAAACCGGAGCUAAUACCGGAUAAUAUAUUGAGCCGCAUGGUUCAAUAGUGAAAGACGGUUUUGCUGUCACUUAUAGAUGGAUCCGCGCCGCAUUAGCUAGUUGGUAAGGUAACGGCUUACCAAGGCAACGAUGCGUAGCCGACCUGAGAGGGUGACCGGCCACACUGGAACUGAGACACGGCCCAGAAUCCUACGGGAGGCAGCAGUAGGGAAUCUUCCGAAAGGGGCGAAAGCCGGACGGAGAAACGCCGGGUGAGUGAUGAAGGUCUUCGGAUCGUAAAACUUUUUUAUUAGGGAAGAAAAAAUGUGUAAGUAACUAUCCACGUCUUGACGGUUCCUAAGCAAAAAGCCACGGCUAACUACGU
rnacentral:rRNA from 1 species